rnacentral:lncRNA from 1 species
AACAAAUUCCAAAUUACAGCCCCGAGAGCUGAUCAUUAUUUAAUAGAUCGAUAACAUGGUAUAGCACACAUCUUAAAGUACAGGAAGCAGGAAGUACACCAUACUGGCUGAAUUAUAACCCAACUCAAGGCAACAAGUUUAUUUACGUAGAUAGAAAUAGAUAUGCGGGGAUGCGCGCAACGGUAGGCGACUCGGCAGUGCUGCUACUCGUCGUUGAGUGGCUUGGGGUCGCACUUGUGCUUGCAAAAGUUGAGGAUCCAGUCCCUGCACGAAAACCAAUGGACCAACGUAAAAGCAUCUCAUAUGAGAGGAUAAUGGUAUACACAGGCUGAAAGCCAUGCCAAUAACGAGAUUACAAACAAAAAUAUCAUGGCACUGGAAUAUAAUGAAAAGUAGAAUUUUGUGCUUGUUUAGUCUUACUAGCAAUUUUUAGUUUUUUAUUUUUGUUUCUGAAAAAAAAAACCU